rnacentral:rRNA from 1 species
AGUGAACGCUGGCGGUAGGCCUAACACAUGCAAGUCGAACGGCAGCACAGGAGAGCUUGCUCUCUGGGUGGCGAGUGGCGGACGGGUGAGGAAUACAUCGGAAUCUACUUUUUCGUGGGGGAUAACGUAGGGAAACUUACGCUAAUACCGCAUACGACCUACGGGUGAAAGCAGGGGAUCUUCGGACCUUGCGAGAUUGAAUGAGCCGAUGUCGGAUUAGCUAGUUGGCGGGGUAAAGGCCCACCAAGGCGACGAUCCGUAGCUGGUCUGAGAGGAUGAUCAGCCACACUGGAACUGAGACACGGUCCAGACUCCUACGGGAGGCAGCAGUGGGGAAUAUUGGACAAUGGGCGCAAGCCUGAUCCAGCCAUACCGCGUGGGUGAAGAAGGCCUUCGGGUUGUAAAGCCCUUUUGUUGGGAAAGAAAUCCAGCUGGUUAAUACCCGGUUGGGAUGACGGUACCCAAAGAAUAAGCACCGGCUAACUUCGUGCCAGCAGCCGCGGUAACAC